rnacentral:rRNA from 1 species
UACGUAGGGCGCAAGCGUUGUCCGGAAUUAUUGGGCGUAAAGAGCUCGUAGGUGGCUUGUCGCGUCUGCCGUGAAAGCCCGUGGCUUAACUACGGGUCUGCGGUGGAUACGGGCAGGCUAGAGGUUGGUAGGGGCAAGCGGAAUUCCUGGUGUAGCGGUGAAAUGCGCAGAUAUCAGGAGGAACACCGGUGGCGAAGGCGGCUUGCUGGGCCAGUUCUGACGCUGAGGAGCGAAAGCGUGGGGAGCAAACAGG